rnacentral:rRNA from 1 species
GGGUACGAUCAUACAAGCACUCAUGUACCAAAUCCCAUCAAAACUCCGAAAUUAAGCGUGCUUGAGCAAGAGUCGUAUUAAGACGGGCUUUGUUACCGAACUUC